rnacentral:rRNA from 1 species
GACGAAGGAAGCUAGCGAUAUUCGGUGUCACUGGGCUGAAAGCGUAUGUAGGCGGAAGCGUAAGUGCUUUGUGAAAUCCCUCAGCUCAACUGAGGAAUAGCUUGGCAUACUGCGUUUCUUGAGGCAAGUAGGGGUGCAUGGAACUCUAGGUGGAGCUGUGGAAUGCGUAGAUAUCUAGAGGAACGCCGAUGGAUAAAUCAGUGCACUGGGCUUGUCCUGACGCUCCGAUACCAAAGCGUGGGGAGCAUACAGG